GGUGAAAAGCACCCCGGAAGGGGAGUGAAAUAGAACCUGAAACCGUGUGCUUACAAGUAGUCAGAGCCCGUUAAUGGGUGAUGGCGUGCCUUUUGUAGAAUGAACCGGCGAGUUACGAUUUGAUGCAAGGUUAAGCAGUAAAUGUGGAGCCGUAGCGAAAGCGAGUCUGAAUAGGGCGUUUAGUAUUUGGUCGUAGACCCGAAACCAGGUGAUCUACCCUUGGUCAGGUUGAAGUUCAGGUAACACUGAAUGGAGGACCGAACCGAC
rnacentral:rRNA from 1 species